AGUAUACUUUUGGCUAAUAAUGAAGGUCUUAAGAAUCAUGGGUAUUCUGUUGUUGGCGUAUCUUUAUUGUUUGUUGCUAACGCAAAGCAAAGAUGGUACAAUUUGCAUAAAGGCCUGCCAUAUCCCAUACUAGGACCGACCAUUUAAAGUGAAACCUCGCAAUAAAGUUCCUUUGUAAUGCUGUCUACGUCGAGAAUCUUUAAAAUCCAUCGUAAGGUUUGUUGAGUUAUGGCCAAGUGUAUAGCUUUAAUCUGAGAGAUGGCUAUGGCAAUCAGAUAGAAAUCAGAAGCAGUGAAUAAGACAGGAAAUAUGUGAAAGAAUUAAUCCUAUCUGAAUCUGAAUGCUAAAGAUGUAUCUUAACUACUUAUCAAAAUUUCGAAAACUGCUAAAAACUAAAUUGAACAUUCU
rnacentral:lncRNA from 1 species